UUUCCAGGGCACACACAGAGCUGUAAUUUUCUUACCAUCUGAAGUCUGUAAACAGUACAAAUGUGUUGCUACUUCAGAAGCAGUAUUUGGCUCCAACAAAGUAUAAAUAAUGGAGAGCAAAGCUAUUAAAUAAGGAUCAAGUGGUCCAAAAAACCCUUUCCUUUUUGUAUUAGCACGUGAGCUUGAGCUGAAGCACCUGCUGUGCCACAGAGAGGGAGAUACUACACCUGACAACUCUCUCCAAGGUGACUGCCUGGUCAAAUGAAUAGACAUCACUCUUCUGGACAGUAUUCUAGAACAGACCUAAAGAACCAAGUGUUUGUCUCAACCAUGCCAUGGUGCUGUGAAGUGCUGCAGUUCUGAAGACUCAACUCUUUCGAGCAAAAUACCAUCAAAAACUUCCUGACUGCUUGAGGGUCAAAUCUGAAAGUGGCCCGAUUCUGGCUCCCAACUGGACCACAGGAGUUCAGGAACAAGCCAAUCAAACACAGGCACCUGCAUCUUGGAACUACAUUUGAUCCAGCCUUUCUUUUCAAUUAAUAUUUAAUUUGUUAUUUGGAAAAAAAAGAAGGAAACCUAAAGCUCUGGAACCUGGCGUACUCUGCCCAGUUUUUGCUGGCCCGUAGACAAAAUGUCAGUAACAAAGGGUACAAAAAAGAUACAGAGGAAAUAUGAUUAAAAAGUCUGAACAAGAAAUGCA